CAACCCUGACCAAGCAACGCCGCGUGGGUGAUGAAGUCUCUUGGGACGUAAAACCCUUUCGACGGGGAAGAAAACCGCAAGGUUUGACGGUACCCGUAGAAGAAGCCCCGGCUAACUCCGUGCCAGCAGCCGCGGGUAAUACGGGGGGGGCAAGCGUUGUUCGGAAUUACUGGGCGUAAAGGGCGCGUAGGCGGUUCGCUAAGUUGGAUGUGAAAACUCUGGGCUCAACCCAGAGCCUGCAUCCAAAACUGGCGGGCUAGAGUUCUGGAGGGGGUAGCGGAAUUCCUGGUGUAGCGGUGAAAUGCGUAGAUAUCAGGAGGAACACCGGUGGCGAAGGCGGCUACCUGGACAGAAACUGACCCGCUGAGGCGCGAAAGCUAGGGGAGCAAACAGGAUUAGAUACCCUGGUAGUCCUAGCCCUAAACGAUGGAUACUUGGUGUGACUGGGAUUGAAUCCAGUCGUGCCGAAGCUAACGCAUUAAGUAUCCCGCCUGGGGAGUACGGUCGCAAGGCUG
rnacentral:rRNA from 1 species